rnacentral:lncRNA from 1 species
UUUAUCAAUGUGAUAAUAACAUGGUUUUGAAUUUUUAUUCACUUCUGUUUUGACAUUUAGAAGCAGUCUGCUUAAUUUAUUCUAGUUUAGAUAUACCUAAAUUGCAGUAAAGCAUGCAUCUGUUGACAUGAGCACCUGAAUGUGCACCGCAUUUAGACAAAUAAACAGUUCUCUUUUUUCUUUUUUCUUGUAUUCUUUUCUUUUCUUUUGGCCAAUAAACAAAGAAGUUUUACAAUAGCCUGAACAAAGAAUCCAAACAUUGAGGUCAUUGCCAACCGCCCAUUCUUGAUUUCCUUCACCUUCAGUUCAGCAAAGGCUUCAGGUUUAAUUGAUAAUAGUUGAUUUCCUUCACCUUAACUCGUCAAUGUCUUCCAUAUUGAAAAUGGGAAUGGUCGAUUUAGUUCUUUU